rnacentral:rRNA from 1 species
GGGUCCGCACAAGCGGUGGAGCAUGUGGUUUAAUUCGAUAAUACGCGAGGAACCUUACCUAGGCUAGAAUGCGAGUGACAUCCAGAGAGAUCUGGAGUUCUUCGGACACAAAGCAAGGUGCUGCAUGGUUGUCGUCAGCUCGUGCCGUGAGGUGUUGGGUUAAGUCCCGCAACGAGCGCAACCCCUGUUUUUAGUUGCCAGCAAGUAAUGUUGGGGACUCUAGAAAGACUGCCUGCGUAAGCAGAGAGGAAGGAGGGGACGACGUCAAAUCAGCAUGGCCCUUAUGCCUAGGGCUACACACGUGCUACAAUGGCGUAUACAAAGGGUAGCGAACCAGUGAUGGUAAGCCAAUCUCUAAAAGUACGUCUCAGUUCGGAUUGAAGUCUGCAACUCGACUUCAUGAAGCUGGAAUCGCUAGUAA